GCCAAGGAAUGCCUGCAGUCCAGGAUUCCUCCUAAGCCACGUCCCAUCUGUGCAGGACCCCAAUGGAAAUCAGACUGUUCAACUCACCUGGCAGCCACUCCCAGAGCCCCUGGAACUCUGGCCCAAGGCUCUCUGACUCCUUCCCAGAUCUUCUUGGCUUCUCUGACUCCUUCCCAGAUCUUCUCGGCUUAGCGGCUGAAGACUGAUGCCGCCCGAUCGCCUUGGAAGCCCCGUAGACCAUCACAGAUGCUAGCUUUAAGUAACUCUCACAGUGGAGGGACUAUUUUUCAGACUUUGACCCUGGGAGGUAGAGCUCCAGUAGAAAAUGGUGGUCUUCCCAAGCUAGAAGACAGAGCAGAGUUCAACACAGUUGAAGUGACUGGAAUUUGUGGGCAAGAGAGAAAGGAGUGAUGUGAUGGAGGGAGACAGCUGUCUGCAUGGAGGCUCUCCAUAAAUCUUUGGUAUAGAGCUGGGUUGCACAUGUGUAGAACAAAUCGCCACGAGAACUAGGAGAAAGUGGCUACUGUAGGAGUGAGUGGUGAACAAAGAUACCUAAAAUUACACUGGAUUAGAUGAUGUUGUACAUGUUAUAGUCUAGCCAGAGUGCAGAGAGUUCAUUGAGCGCCUCAGGCAUUUGUUUAAGACAACAAAUACCUUGAAAAUAAAAGUCAAGCUUUAAAAUAAGAGCCACAUGCUAGGACAAGAGACAAAACCGAAAGAGACUGACUCCAACAUGGAAUGACACCAAGCCUGAAAGGAUCUGGAGGACCUUCUAGCAAUUUAAAUAAAUGCCCUUUAAAACAAGACAUAAAAUCCAGCUUCCUUGCAAUAUGUCAUCAAUAUUAUGCAUAUAAUCAAAGAUAACUAGACAUGGGAAAAAAAAGAGAAGAAAAGAAAAUAUGACUCAUAAACAAACAGAGGGAAGCAGUAAAUAAAGGCCCAACUUUAUAUAACCAAGAUGUUUGCAAUAGAAGACAAAGACUCUAAAAGUACCUGUUACAGAUAUAUUUAGGGCUUAAAGGAAAACACGGAUAUAGUGGAUGACAUAGGGGAACUACCAGCAAAGAGCUAGAAAUUGUAUUUGUUUUCACCAUAUACUUAUUUUAUCUGUUCUGGAACUUCAUAUAAAUUGAAUUAUAUAGUAUAUACUCUUUUGUAUCCAGAUUUUUCUCUUUGCAAAAUGCCUGUAGCAUUCAUUUAUGUUGCUGUAUGAUCAGUAGGCUCUUUUUAUUGCAGAAUAAACAAAAUGAAGUAGUUAGGUGCUUACAUUUAAAUGUAGACUCACAGCGAUUAUAAUAGCUACAAAUGUAGACUGAUACAAAAGUGUUUUUUCACAGUCCAUUAGCUCAAGCGGUGUAGUAAAUUAUAACAGUGCUUUCCAAAUGGGUGAAUAUUGUUUAAUAAAAAUCUAAACAAAAUAGAUGUAAUAAAAAUUUCAAUUUAUAGAGUUGCAUCUCUAGAAACUUUCUGUGUAUAUUAAAACCAUGUUUAAAACACAUUUUUCUAUGCAGAAUGAACUAAAGUUAUGGAAGUACAUAAUGAUUCAUAAAUUUGUCAGCUAUUUCAGUGUCUGGUGGGACAUUUGAAAGCUGUACAGGAUGUGAGACAAUCUGCAUUGGUCAGUAUUCUCUCAUGCUUUAUAGGACAUCCAGAAUUUUUGGACACCAUUUGCUAAAUGCUAGUGAUAUUGUGAGACAAAAAAUCCUUCCCCAAAUUUCUGAAAUGCUCUUUAGGGAGGAGUAAUAUUCCUACUGAUAAGAGCUACUCUAUGCCUUCUCAUCGCAAUCUUACCAACUGUCAUAUUUAUGUAUUUUCUUUUUGAAAAUGUUGAAAAGAGAUGAGAAAACCAGCCCCAGACUGGGAAAAAAAAUUUUGCAAAAGACAUAUCUGAUAAAGAACUGUUAUCUAAAAUACAAAAUAACUGAAAACCCAACAAGAAAAUGAACAACCUGAUUUUAAAAUGGACAAACGAUCUGAAUAGACACCUCAUCAAAGAAUAUAUGCAAAUAGAAAAUAAGCAUAUGAAAAGAUGCUCAACAUUACAUGUCAUUAGGAAAUUUCAAAUUAAAACAACAUUGAGAUAUAACUGCACACCUAUUAGAAUGGCCAAAAUCUAAAACACUAAUAACACCAAAUGCUGGCAAAGAUAUGGAGCAACAGAAACUCUCAUUCAUUGCUGGUGGGAAUGCAACAUGGUACCUCCAUGUUGGAAGAUCAUUUGGCAGUUUCUUACAAAACUAAACAUAUUUUUAAUGUACAAUUCAAGACUCAUGUUCCUUGAUAUUUACCCAAAUGAGUUGAAAACUUGUUCACAUAAAUGUGCACACAGAUGUUUAUAGCAGCUUUAUUAAUAACUGCAAAAUAUUGGAAGCAACCAAGAUGCCAUCAGUAAAUAAGCAGAUAAAUAAGCUAUGGUACAUCCAGACAAUGGAAUAUUAGCACUAAAAGGAAAUGAGCUAUUUAGCCAUGAAAAGCUAUGGAGAAACCUAAAAUGCAUAUUACUAAGCGAAAAAAGCCAAUCUGAAAAGGCUUCCUACGGUAUGAUUCCAACUAUAUGACAUUCUGGAAAAGGCAAAACCAUGGAGACCGUAACAGUAGCAGUGGUUUCAAGAGACUGGGAGAAGAAAGGGAUGAAUGGAUGGAGCACAGAGGAAUUUUAGAGCAAUAAAACUCUUCUACAUAUUUCUAUAAUUAUAAAUACAUGUUAUGACAUUUGUCAAAACCCAUAGAAUGUACAACACGAAGAGUGAAUGAACCCUAAUGUAAACUAUGGACUUUGGGUGAUAGCAAUGUGUCAUUGUAGGUUUAUUGAUUAUAACAAAUGUACCUCUCUGGUGGGGGAUAUUGGUAACAGGUGAGGUUUUGCUUGUGUUGGGGCAAAGAAUAAAUGGGAAAUCUCUGUACUUUCACUCAAUUUUGCUGUGAACCUAAAGAUGCUCUGAAAAAUAAAGCCUACUAAAAAAAAGUUGAAAAGAUGCCAUGUUUGAAGAAUGCUGUCCACUAAGCACAAUCUCUUCUUCCUUAUAGCUACUGUUCUUGGCAGAGCUACUUGGAUUAACAAUGGUGCCUGGCAGAGUAACACAGAGACCAUAGGAAUAGACAUUUUCUUGAGUACAUGUGGAAGACCAACUGGGAACUCCAAAAUAUUUUGUGAUGGAUGUUAAGGUGGGUUUCUCAGGGAGAACCCAGAACUACGUCAUCAAGUCCAUUGAAAUUAGUGAUAAGAGGCUGGCCUAGAUAAUGACUUUGGGGUUGAAAAGGAACAGAUUGGGGAAAAGGGACUUGAUGAUUGGCAGGUUUUAGUUGUCAAGGGCAGGAAGGAAAAGGAAAACAUUUAUUUUUCACUCUGUACCCUUUUGUACCUUUUCAAAUUCAUAUCGUGUACAUAUUAUCUAUUUUUAAAGUAAUUUUUAAAAUGUAAGAUGGGGAAGCAGAGAAAGUAGUCAAAGAGGUUAGGAAGGAAUGAUCAGAGUGGUUAGCGGAAAACCAAGAAAGAGUAAAAACAUGAACACCAGGACAAGAACAUUUCCAAAAGGGAAGUGGGGCCAACUAUGAUGUGAUAAUUAAUAUUGAGUUUCAACUUGAUUGGAUUGAAGGAUACAAAGUAUUGAUCUUGGGUGUGUCUUGAGGGUGUUGCCACAGGAGAUUAACAUUUGAGUCAGUGGGCUAGGAAAGGCAGACACACCCCUAAUCUGGGUGGGCACAAUCGAAUCAGCUGCCAGCACUGCUAGAAUCUAAGCAGGCAGAAACAUGUGAAAACAGAGACUGGCUUAGCCUGCCAGCCUACAUCUUUCUCCUGUGCUGGAUGCUUCCUGCCCUUGAACACUGGAGUCCAAGUUCUUCAAUUUUGGAACUUGGACUGGCUCUCCUUGCUCCUCAGCCUGCAGACAGCCUAUUGUGGGAACCCUGACUAAUACACGUGGUUUAUGUUUGGCAAGGUCAAGUAAGAUGGCUGAGAAGUAUUCACUGGAUUUAGGUCAUUUGUGACCUAUUCUGUGACUAAUUCUGUGAAGCAAUGAGUGUAGGAGCCAGAUAAAAAUGGAAUGAGAAAGGAAUCUGAGUUGAAAUAAAGACAAUAUGUGAAUAACAUUUUCAAAUAUUAUUUGAGGGCUUUUUCCACUGUAUUUCCUUGUACGCACAGGACUUCCUUUACCUUUAGGAUUUUCUGUACUAAAGGAGGCUGUGCCAAAAACAGAGAGGUCUUUGGUUUGUUAAAAUUUUGGCCCUGCUUUAAAU
rnacentral:lncRNA from 1 species